AAUAUACUCCCUCUAUCUGGAAUUACUUGUCAUCAAAAUAGAUGAAAAUGGAUGUAUCUACAACUAAAAUACAUCUAGAUACAUCAAUUUCAAUCACAAGUAUUUCUGGGCGGAGGGAGUAAAAG
rfam:Triticum aestivum genome assembly, contig: Triticum_aestivum_CS42_TGACv1_scaffold_593482_7BS